UAUCUGGGGGAAUAGUGGUUAGGCCACAGAACACUCACUGCUGCGGCCCGGGUUCGAUUCCUGGCCAGGGAC
rnacentral:tRNA from 1 species